CGAUUUCGACUUGCUGCGGACUGAUGAAAUGCACAUGCGAAUCCACGCCGCCGGCCGUUACGAUCAAGUUCUCUCCGGAGAUGACUUCCGUGCCCACGCCGAUGAUCAUGCCGUCGGUGACACCAUCCAUCAUAAGCGGAUUACCUGCUUUUCCGAUGCCGCUGAUGUACCCGUCCUUAAUCCCGAUGUCCGCUUUCACGAUUCCCCAGGUAUCCACAAUGAUGGCAUUCGUAAUGACCAGAUCCAGUGCCCCUUCCGCUCGGGUCGCGAGCGGAUGCUGUCCCAUGCCGUCACG
rfam:Paenibacillus sp. Y412MC10, complete genome.